rnacentral:rRNA from 1 species
AUUGAACGCUGGCGGCAUGCCUUACACAUGCAAGUCGAACGGUAACAGGUCUUCGGAUGCUGACGAGUGGCGAACGGGUGAGUAAUACAUCGGAACGUGCCCGAUCGUGGGGGAUAACGAAGCGAAAGCUUUGCUAAUACCGCAUAAGAUCUACGGAUGAAAGCAGGGGACCGCAAGGCCUUGCGCGAACGGAGCGGCCGAUGGCAGAUUAGGUAGUUGGUGGGAUAAAAGCUUACCAAGCCGACGACCUGUAGCUGGUCUGAGAGGACGACCAGCCACACUGGGACUGAGACACGGCCCAGACUCCUACGGGAGGCAGCAGUGGGGAAUUUUGGACAAUGGGCGAAAGCCUGAUCCAGCCAUGCCGCGUGCAGGAUGAAGGCCUUCGGGUUGUAAACUGCUUUUGUACGGAACGAAAAGACUCUGGUUAAUACCUGGGGUCCAUGACGGUACCGGAAGAAUAAGCACCGGCUAACUACGUG